rnacentral:lncRNA from 1 species
GAGGAAAGAAUGGCAGCGUCCUUACAGUUUGCUCACAGCAGCGGGUGGCAACGAUCAAUGAUGGCGAUGACUUAGGGCGUUUGGGUAGUGGCAAUGUGGGGUGUCAGUGUUAGAAAGGUUGUAGUGGGGGUUUUAAAGGUGGUGUUGUUUAUGAAAGAAAGGGUGGGGGUUUGGUGUUUCAGAGGUACAGUGGUUAUGGUGGCGUAAAAAAAAAGAUAGGAGAGGUGAACGAUGGCAUUAGGGCAAGGAAAAGGGAGCCGAUUGGUAAGGAGGGAAACGGGAAGACCGUUACGGCUCUGUGGGGUUCAAGAUCCACGGUGGCGAGGGAGAAAGGAAACGAGUGACAGUACUUAUGAAUCAGUGUCACUUGGUGUUGGCUUGGCGUAGUGGUGCGAAGAAAAAGAAAUGAAUCGGUGACUGAUCGGUGCUACGGUGGUGUUCAGCGAUGGUAGUAGUUGUGUGAUGGCGUUAAUGGAGUUAGGGUUUUUGUUGAGAAUAGAAGAAGAAGAAAGAAGGGUGAAAAAGGAGGUGUUACGGGUUUGGGGUUUGUUUUCUUUUCCUUUUUGAGUUUGGGUUUUCCUUUUCUUUCUUCUUUUUUCCUUUCUUAGUCCACAUUUGGCUGUUUGGCCCUGUCUCUUUUUUUUUUCUUUUGAGUUUAGGGAGUUAGUUUGGUUUUGGGUUUUUAUUUUUUGCUGUUUGGGCUCAUUUUAGCUUCUUCUUUUUUCCUCUUGGGCUAGUUUCAAUUUUUGGCGAGCCUACGAUACGAUCGGUGUCCGAUCUUCAAAAAAUUGACAGCUUCCACCAACGUUCCUGGAAAAUAACAUGAAAUAGAUUAAAUAAUAAUUAUUUUUUAUUUUAUUUUCAACCUAAAUUAAACUGAAAUUCAAAGUUAA